GUGCUCACUUCGGCAGCACAUGUACUACAAUUGGAACAAUGCAGAGAAGAUUAGCAUGGCCCCUGCGCAAGGACGACAUGCAAAUUCAUGAAGCGGUCCAUACUAAA
ensembl:snRNA U6 U6 spliceosomal RNA